rnacentral:rRNA from 1 species
CUUUGAUUAUGGCUCAGGAUGAACGCUGGCGGCAUGCCUAAGACAUGCAAGUCGAACGAGAUGGCCCAGUGAAAGUUGCGUGCUUGCACAAGACUGGAUCUGGAUCACCAUCUAGUGGCAGACGGGUGAGUAACACGUGGGUGACCUACCUUUUCGUUGGGGAUAACAGUUGGAAACGAUUGCUAAUACCGAAUAAAAUAUAAGAGUCGAUUUUAUAUUGAAAGGAGCCUUUAAAGCUUCGCGAUUAGAUGGGCCUGCGGCGUAUUAACUAGUUGGUGGGGUAAUGGCCUACCAAGGUAACGAUGCGUAGCCGAACUGAGAGGUUGAUCGGCCACACUGGGACUGAGACACGGCCCAGACUCCUACGGGAGACAGCAGUUAGGAAUAUUCGUCAAUGGAGGAAACUCUGAACGAGCAAUGCCGCGUGAGUGAUGAAGGUCUUAUAGAUUGUAAAACUCUGUUGUAUGGAAAAAACGACUAGGUUAGGAAAUGAACUUAGUGUGAUGGUACCAUACCAGAAAGCCCCGGCUAACUACGUGCCAGCAGCCGCGGUAAUACGUAGGGGGCGAGCGUUAUCCGGAUUUAUUGGGCGUAAAGCGUGUGUAGGCGGUUUGUUAA